UACGUAGGCAGCGAGCGUUGUUCGGAAUUACUGGGCGUAAAGAGUGUGUAGGCGGUGCUCCCAGUCUGUUGUGAAAUCUCCCGGCUUAACUGGGAGGGUGCAGCGGAAACUAGAGUGCUAGAGGGUGGGAGAGGUAAGCGGAAUUCCUGGUGUAGCGGUGAAAUGCGUAGAUAUCAGGAGGAACACCUGUGGUGUAGACAGCUUACUGGGACCACUUCUGACGCUGAGACACGAAAAGCGUGGGUAGCAAACAGG
rnacentral:rRNA from 1 species